rnacentral:misc_RNA from 1 species
GUUUUAUUUUCCCUACAAGCCCCAUUUGUGAAUUAAAUACAAUUAAAUGAUCUUGCACUUUGUGAACAUUUUCAAUAAAGCAUGGUUGUGUUCAUUUAAGAAUGAUUUGAAUUUUUAAAACGUGUUAGGAGAAAACCUUGCAUUUUUGUUCUGAGAAUUGAUAUUAAGCAAGAUCUCAUUUGCCUAACAUAUUCAGUAUGGACUAUUUAACUAAGUUAUUGUGUCUAAAAUAUAUGUAAAACCCGCAUGUGUAUUUAUGAUUCUUUUUUUUUAUUGCAAUGACAGUAUUACAAUCUUCAUUUCUGCAUGAUACUCACUUGUAUGUGUUUUUUGUCAGUGUUAGAAUCGUUGCAAUAUGAUUGUAAUUAUUUAAUCAUCUGUAUAUUACCUGCAUCAUAUCAGCCUAUGUAUGUAAAUGUAUAAAAAAAAAUCCUGUGUUGCUGAGCGUGUCUGUGGAACACUUGAAGCACAGUAUUAAGACUGCUGGUAUGCUAAUAAUAGCUAGUGAAGUAAAUUAUGAUUUGUGACAAAUUAUUCGUAUUUUGAAUUCAUUCACCAGGAACUAUUAUGAGGAUGAAAAUUCAGGUUUAUUCACUAGAAACUUAAUAAGCCUUACUCCAUCAAUGAAAAUGCAGAUUUCUUUAGAAUGCAGUCAAUACAUUGUGACUUAUUGGCUCUACAAAAGAAGACAAUAUGUGCCUCGGAUAAUGAAUAGUGCAGUAGCAAUAAUUUGGACUUGUGAGUUAAUCAUGCAGCGUAGAGAUAAGGACAGAACCUUAAUUUAGGGGAUAGUUAUAUCUUAUCAGUCUAGGGUAGGACAGCAGACCUCCAUUAACAUUCAAUGGCAAUGGCUGUCCCUGUCUUUAAGUAUCCUUGUCUUUUAGUAUCUUAAACUGCAGAAACUUAUCGGCUUGUUUUGAAACAGAACUUUAAUUAUCUUGAAUUAAUUCAGUUUAGGGAAAUUCGAAUUGUAAUUUGCAUUUUAACCUGCACCCUAAAAUGUAGUGCCACGAGAUUAGAAAAAAAAAAUAUUCUAAAAUUGGUGAAUUUUUUAACUAAACAGUAUUCUUAAUCGACAACAGAUUGAAAGCCUCUGCUAGAAAUGUGAAAGUCUUUGGUUUGAUUUCACAUGACUAUACAAUUCAUUUCGCUUUUAUUAAAUCUUAGAAUACG